rnacentral:ncRNA from 1 species
UAAAAGUUUGAUUCUGGCUUUAAUUUCGUUUUAUGUUAAAUUUAUAUAUGAGAAUAUGCUUGAGGGUAAUUAUGUAGUAGAAAGUAUUAAGUACUUAAAAAAUAAGACUUAGUUAUAUAAUAAAGGUCGGCCAAAGUCGUGCCAGCUGCCGCGGUUAGACGAAGGACCUAAAUGAAAUUUAAGGUUAAAAUAAGAUAAUUGAUGUUUUAAAUUUAAACUUUAAGGAUAUUUUUUUGAGUGAAAUCUGUAAAAUUAUUAAGAGGUUUUAUUUUUUUAACUUUUAGAUCUUAUAAACUCAUUUUAUAAACCAGGAUUAGAUACCCUGCUAUUAUGAGUUACUGUUAACUAGGGUAGUAAAAGAAAAUUCUUCAAACCCAAAGAUUUUGGCGGUAUUCUAUCCAAAUAGAGGAGCUUGUCCUGUGAUCGAUAAUCCUCGUUGAAUCUUUCUUUCUUUUGUAUAGUUUGUAUACCUCCGUUGUCAGAUUACUUUACUAGAAUGUUUUCUUAAAAAAUAAUUUUAUGACUUCAGGUCAAGGUGCAGCUUAUGGGAAAGUAGUGAUGAGCUACAAUAGUUUUAAACUAAACGGAUUAUUUUUGUAAUAGGAUCUGAAGGUGGAUUUACUAGUAAACUUAAUUAAGGAAGUUAAGUUGAAUAAGGCAAUAGAAUAUGCACAUAUCGCCCGUCACUCUCCUCCUAAGAGGAGAUAAGUCGUAACAUAGUAGAUGUACUGGAAAGUGUAUCUAGAAAGUG